rnacentral:rRNA from 1 species
AAUACAUGCAAGUCGAACGAGAAAGCUACUUCGGUAGUGAUUAAAGUGGCGCACGGGUGAGUAACACGUAGGUGACCUGUCCUAUAGUGGGGGACAACAGAAAGAAAUUUCUGCUAAUACCGCAUGAGCUCGGCAAUUUUGGAAGUAGCCGAGGAAAGAUGACCAAUCCUUGGAAGUUGUCGCUAUUUGAAGGGUCUGCGUGCCAUUAGCUUGUUGGUGGGGUAAAAGCCUACCAAGGCGAUGAUGGCUAGCCGGUCUGAGAGGACGAUCGGCCACACUGGAACUGAGACACGGUCCAGACUCCUACGGGAGGCAGCAGUAGGGAAUAUUGCGCAAUGGGGGAAACCCUGACGCAGCAAUGCCGCGUGAGCGAGGAAGGCCUUCGGGUCGUAAAGCUCUGUUAGUGGGGAAAAAUUGCAUUAGAGUUAAUACCUCUAGUGAGUGAUGGUACCCACAGAGGAAGCACCGGCUAACUUCGUGCCAGUAGCCGCGGUAAUACGAAGGGUGCAAGCGUUGUUCGGAUUUAUUGGGCGUAAAGCGCGCGCAGGCGGAUUAAUAAGCGAGGUGUGAAAUCUCGGGGCUCAACCCCGAAAUUGCGCCUCGAACUGUUAGUCUAGAAUCUUGGAGGGGGCAGGGGAAUUUCGCAUGUAGGGGUAAAAUCCGUAGAGAUGCGAAGGAACACUUGAGGCGAAGGCGCCUGCCUGGACGAGUAUUGACGCUGAGGCGCGAAAGCGUGGGGAGCAAACAGGAUUAGAUACCCUGGUAGUCCACGCUGUAAACGAUGAGCACUAGAUAUGGCGGGUAUUGACUCCUGCCGUGCCGUAGCUAACGCAAUAAGUGCUCCGCCUGGGGAGUACGGUCGCAAGACUAAAACUCAAAGGAAUUGACGGGGGCCCGCACAAGCGGUGGAUUAUGUGGUUUAAUUCGAAGCAACGCGAAAAACCUUACCUGGGCUUGAAAUCCUACGAACCUGCUAGAGAUAGCGGGGUGCCCUUCGGGGAAUGUAGUGACAGGUGCUGCAUGGCUGUCGUCAGCUCGUGUUGUGAAAUGUUGGGUUAAGUCUCGCAACGAGCGCAACCCCUAUCCUUUGUUGCCAGCAUUAAGUUGGGCACUCUAAGGAGACUGCCUGGGUUAACCAGGAGGAAGGUGGGGAUGACGUCAAGUCCUCAUGGCCCUUAUGUCCAGGGCUACACACGUAAUACAAUGGCCGAUACAGAGGGAAGCGAACCUGCGAGGGGGAGCCAAUCUCAAAAAGUCGGUCUCAGUCCGGAUUGGAGUCUGCAACUCGACUCCAUGAAGUUGGAAUCGCUAGUAAUCGCGGAUCAGCACGCCGCGGUGAAUACGUUCCCGGGCCUUGUACACACCGCCCGUCACACCAUGGGAGUUAGCUCAACCUGAAGCCGUGACCCUAACCCUCGGGAAGGGAGCGUCUACGGUGGGGCCGAUGACUGGGGUGAAGUCGUAACAAGGUA